UUUUCAAUACUCUUGUAACGAGGCAAUAACAUGCUGCCUUAUUGAUUUUGCUAAUAGGUAGAGAAUGGUGAUCACUUUUACCAACAAGGAAAGGCCACAUCCAAAUUCCAAACCAGAAGUUAUUACCUAAGGAAAGAAGAACUAGGUCCAACAGUAGAUCAGGACCCACCUGUUGGGGAAAACCAGAAAUAGGAGGAAGAAGUUAUUGAUGGCUCAUUCUUAGCUGAGAAAAAAUCAGUAUGGAAUAAUUAAGGUCAAUUACAGAAUUAUGGUUAUUGCUGGGGAUCAA